rnacentral:sRNA from 1 species
UCUUUUUCUCCCUUAAGUUCCCCUGUUCAAGGCAUACCUUAGAGGUAUGGGCCAGAGAGGACUGGGUCAGAGAGCAGGGAGUGGCUGGGGAGGUAAGGGACAGUGAUGGGCAUUCCUGAGAGAACUGGGUGAUGACAGGGGAAUCUGAAAGGGGAGAAAGAAGCAUCCAAGAGACAGUGAACAUAGCUGGGGGAAUUUUAAGGGUAUGCAUUAAUUAGAGUUUAUAAUAGGCAGGGUGUGCUCUAGCCUAGCGGGCUCUGACCUCCUUCCUGUUCACCUUUGCCUUUGUCCAGGGAGAGUCCUGGCCCAUGCCGACAUCCCAGAGCUGGGCAGUGUGCACUUCGACGAAGACGAGUUCUGGACUGAGGGGACCUACCAUGGGGUGAACCUGCGCAUCAUUGCAGCCCAUGAAGUGGGCCAUGCUCUGGGGCUUGGGCACUCCCGAUAUUCCCAGGCCCUCAUGGCCCCAGUCUACGAGGGCUACCGGCCCCACUUCAAGCUGCACCCAGAUGAUGUGGCAGGGAUCCAGGCUCUCUAUGGCAAGAAGAGUCCAGUGAUAAGGGAUGAGGAAGAAGAAGAAACAGAGCUGCCCACUGUGCCCCCAGAACCCAGUCCCAUGCCAGACCCUUGCAGUAGUGAACUGGAUGCCAUGAUGCUGGGUGAGGCCCCUCCCCUCCAGGCUGUUGGCAGGCGGUGGGGGCAGCCUGCUGAUCCUGAGGCCUGGACAAAUGGGAGUGACAUGGGACUUCAGCAUGAGCAAUGGAGGGCCCCGUGGGAAGACCUAUGCUUUCAAGGGGGACUAUGUGUGGACUGUAUCAGAUUCAGGACCGGGCCCCUUGUUCCGAGUGUCUGCCCUUUGGGAGGGGCUCCCCGGAAACCUGGAUGCUGCUGUCUACUCGCCUCGAACACAAUGGAUUCACUUCUUUAAGGGAGACAAGGUGUGGCGCUACAUUAAUUUCAAGAUGUCUCCUGGCUUCCCCAAGAAGCUGAAUAGGGUAGAACCUAACCUGGAUGCAGCUCUCUAUUGGCCUCUCAACCAAAAGGUGUUCCUCUUUAAGGGCUCCGGGUACUGGCAGUGGGACGAGCUAGCCCGAACUGACUUCAGCAGCUACCCCAAACCAAUCAAGGGUUUGUUUACGGGAGUGCCAAACCAGCCCUCGGCUGCUAUGAGUUGGCAAGAUGGCCGAGUCUACUUCUUCAAGGGCAAAGUCUACUGGCGCCUCAACCAGCAGCUUCGAGUAGAGAAAGGCUAUCCCAGAAAUAUUGCCCACAACUGGAUGCACUGUCGUCCCCAGACUAUAGACACUACCCCAUCAGGUGGGAAUACCACUCCCUCAGGUACGGGCAUAACCUUGGAUACCACUCUCUCAGCCACAGAAACCACAUUUGAAUACUGACUGCUCACCCACAGACACAAUCUUGGACAUUAACCCCUGAGGCUCCACCACCCACCCUUUCAUUCCCCCCCAGAAGCCUAAGGCCUAAUAGCUGAAUGAAAUACCUGUCUGCUCAGUAGAACCUUGCAGGUGCUGUAGCAGGCGCAAGACCAUAGAUCUCAGGCCUCUAACACUUCCAACUCCAGCCACCACUCUCCUGUGCAUUUUCACUCCUGAGAAGUGCUCCCCUAACUCAGAUCCCCUAACUUAGAUUUGGCCCCCAACUCCAUUUCCUGUCUGUCUUAGCCCUUCUAACUCCCCAAUUCCAUUUCCUGUCUGUCUUAGACAGCCCUUCCAACUGUGUCAUCUCUUCUCUGGAGGUCAAUGGUGGAGGGAGAUGCCUGGGUCCUGUUCUUCCUACAUAAAAUGCAAGAAAACAGCAUGGCCAGUAAACUGAGCAAGGGCCUUGGAAUCCUUGAGAAUCACAUUUAUGUGCUUAUGAUUACGGGCAAGCUAAUUAACCUUGUUGAAUCUCAGAUUCCCCAUUUGCAACAUUAGGUUAAGACCAGUACUGCAGGAUUGUUGCACUAAAUGAAAUACUGUAUGUGAAGUGCCUGGCACAGUGUCUGGUACAUUUGUGUUUAAUAAAAGCUAACUCCACGUUCGUAA